AUUGAACGCUGGCGGCAGGCCUAACACAUGCAAGUCGAGCGAGUGGCGGACGGGUGAGUAAUGUAUGGGGAACUGCCCGAUAGAGGGGGAUAACUACUGGAAACGGUGGCUAAUACCGCAUACUAUCGGAUGUGCCCAUAUGGGAUUAGCUAGUAGGUGGGGUAACGGCUCACCUAGGCGACGAUCCCUAGCUGGUCUGAGAGGAUGACCAGCCACACUGGAACUGAGACACGGUCCAGACUCCUACGGGAGGCAGCAGUGGGGAAUAUUGCACAAUGGGCGCAAGCCUGAUGCAGCCAUGCCGCGUGUAUGAAGAAGGCCUUAGGGUUGUAAAGUACUUUCAGCGAGGAGGCGUUACCCGCAGAAGAAGCACCGGCUAACUCCGUGCCAGCAGCCGCGGUAAUUC
rnacentral:rRNA from 1 species